AUCGAUUCUUGGCCUUUUGGCUAAGAUCACGUGUAGUAUCUGUUCUUAUCAGUUUUAUAUCUGCUACAUCUUCUGUCAAAGAAUAAAAGAUAAAUUCUAAGAUUAAGAGAAAAACAACCUAGCUAUAUAACAGAGCCUGAAUGAAGUCUCUAAGUGAUCCAUUAGCAAUUUAACUGCCAUCUAGAACACAACUCAA
ensembl:snRNA U2 U2 spliceosomal RNA